UAAAAUGAAAAAUCUGUGAGCCCACACUUAUAGACUAGUAAAUAAACAAAUGAAUGGAGGCAAAGGGAGAGUUCUUUCUUAUAAAUUCUAAUUAUUAAACAUAGACGGGAUGACAGAAAUAAAGCAAACACCACAGUAAUAGUCGUUUCUGGCAAAAAUUAUCAAUGGAUGCUAAAUUGGGCAAAAUUAUGAUGAAAAACAUGAUAUUUACAUGAUCUCAAAGUUUCUUGUCUCCCUCACCCUCCCUAAGGAACUCAUUAAUUACAAACGGAAAAACAGUGAUGUCACAAUGGAGAAAACUGGCAGACACGGCUUUUAUCAUGUAAUCAACGUUACGAUCCCCCAGCUAUGGAUGUAGUGACGUUGGCAACAUGUAGCUUCUACUAUGAAGUUCUGAGAAGGGACCAACGUAACUUGUGGGAUGUUCUUACCCCCAGAUCGAUAACUUGAAUUUAGACCUGUGCGAACAUCAGAGAAAUCCAAAUUUGGGGACAUUCUACAAAGUAGUUGGCCAGUACUCUUCAAAAACGUCAAGUUCAUGAAAGACCAAGAAAGACGGAGGAAGGGUCCUAGAUUGGAGGAAAUGAAGGAGAUGAUAACUAAAGAGUAUGAGCACCUGGAUUGGAUCCUGGAAAAGCAGAACGUUAGUGGAACAACGGCUCACCACCUCCUGGAGUUCCAGACCCACAUGUCUGCACUAUCGUUUGCUAACUGGACACGGUGCUUGAUUUCCUGGAAGGCAUCUGAUGGCAGCCACGGAGGAGAGGCCAUGCAAAACCCACAUGCAAAGACUUGAUUGCAAAGACCUGGGGGGCUGGGGUGCGGGUGCUGCCAGGACCAAGUUCCAGAGCCUUUAUUUUGAUUUCCAUUGAUUCUCUUAUUUUAAAGAAGCCUUUGAACCAACAAGAGAAAAAGAAAAUCCUUUCUUCCUUAAUUAAUCUCUCUUCCAAUUGUUAGAUUGCAAACUUUGAUUACAAAAUAACCCGCCUGCCCCCGGGCGGAUUAAAUCACGCAGGGAGGGGCAGGAGGCAGAGAGGGGAGGUGCGUUUGUCUUAACCGAGAAUCCCGUCAUUGGAGAGAUGAGAAAAGAAAUUAUUUUCGAUGGAAGAGAACACAACCUAGCACAUUCUCUCAAAACAAUUGAAACUAAUGUGUUGACAGUGAAGGAAAAACGUGUCUGCUUUAAUGGUCUGUAGAGACAGACUGUAAUUUGUAAUACCUCUGAUCAGAAAUUGAGGCGACAUAUGGACGAAAAAUGAAAUAAAGCUCAGUUAACUUUCUGCCAGGCACAGUGAGGGAGGAGGGGAGAGGAGCUGAACACAUUUCCGUGUGACACUGCGGCAGGGAUGCUUCUGGCGCUGACGAAGGGGACAGCUUGUGCACAGAGAAGGGUGCCAUCAGCGCGUUCCACAGCUCGAGGCAGCCGCCUCCCCGUCUCCUGUGGGUGCUGAGAGCUGUGCUCAGCUAAUUGCGAGGACGCUGGGAGGGGCUCGUGGCUCCAGUGGGGGCCACGCUGCGGUGACUGGGGCAGCAGAAGAGUCGAAGUGGCUUUUAGUGGGAGCCCAGCUUUAUUCCUAGGGGAAGAACCUCUUAUUUCUGAAACCCUCUGGCACUAUGCCCCAAGCAUUGUUUUAUUUAUCUGUUUCCCUCCCUGACUGUGAGCUCCUUGAGGGCAGGGAUUACACGUGAUACAAAUGAUGAUGAUGAUGAUGUGAUAAUCGUUACUGUACAUUGAACACUUGCUAUGUGCCAGUUAGGGCUUAGCCACCUUUCUUACCUUUU